UAGGGAAUCUUCCACAAUGGGCGAAAGCCUGAUGGGGCAACGCCGCGUGUGUGAUGAAGGGUUUCGGCUCGUAAAACACUGCUGUAAGAGAAGAAUGACAUUGAGAGUAACUGUUCAAUGUGUGACGGUAUCUUACCAGAAAGGAACGGCUAAAUACGUGCCAG
rnacentral:rRNA from 1 species